rnacentral:rRNA from 1 species
GAUGAACGCUGGCGGCGUGCCUAAUACAUGCAAGUCGAGCGAACGGACGAGAAGCUUGCUUCUCUGAUGUUAGCGGCGGACGGGGGAGUAACACGUGGAUACCCUACCUAUAAGACUGGGAUAACUUCGGGAAACCGGAGCUAAUACCGGAUGAUAUUUUGAACCGCAUGGUUCAAAAGUGAAAGACGGUCUUGCUGUCACUUAUAGAUGGAUCCGCGCUGCAUUAGCUAGUUGGUAAGGUAACGGCUUACCAAGGCAACGAUGCAUAGCCGACCUGAGAGGGUGAUCGGCCACACUGGAACUGAGACACGGUCCAGACUCCUACGGGAGGCAGCAGUAGGGAAUCUUCCGCAAUGGGCGAAAGCCUGACGGAGCAACGCCGCGUGAGUGAUGAAGGUCUUCGGAUCGUAAAACUCUGUUAUUAGGGAAGAACAUAUGUGUAAGUAACUGUGCACAUCUUGACGGUACCUAAUCAGAAAGCCACGGCUAACUACGUG